CCCUUAGAUGUUCUGGGCCGCACGCGCGCUACACUGAUGCAUUCAACGAGUCUAAAACCUGCUCUGAUAGGGGUGGGUAAUCUUUUGAAUGUGCAUCGUGAUUGGGAUAGAUGAUUGCAAUUUUUCAUCUUCAACGAGGAAUGCCUAGUAAACGCAAGUCAUCAGCUUGCAUUGAUUACGUCCCUGCCCUUUGUACACACCGCCCGUCGCUCCUACCGAUUGAAUGAUCCGAUAAAUAUCAUGGAUUGAGGAUGCAAGCAGGUUCGCCUGUCUUCAUCUUCGAGAAGUGAAGUAAAUCUUAUCAUUUAGAGGAAGGAGAAGUCGUAACA
rnacentral:rRNA from 1 species